CCUACGGGAGGCAGCAGUGGGGAAUUUUGGACAAUGGGCGCAAGCCUGAUCCAGCCAUGCCGCGUGCAGGAUGAAGGCCUUCGGGUUGUAAACUGCUUUUGUACGGAACGAAAAGUCUCUUUCUAAUAAAGAGGGAUCAUGACGGUACCGUAAGAAUAAG
rnacentral:rRNA from 1 species